rnacentral:rRNA from 1 species
UACAGAGGUCUCAAGCGUUGUUCUGAUUCAUUGGGCGUAAAGGGUGCGUAGGUUGCGCGCUAAGUCAGGUGUGAAAUCUCGGGGCUUAACUCCGAAACUGCAUUUGAUACUGGCGUGCUUGAGGACUGGAGAGGAGACUGGAAUUUACGGUGUAGCAGUGAAAUGCGUAGAGAUCGUAAGGAAGACCAGUGGCGAAGGCGGGUCUCUGGACAGUUCCUGACACUGAGGCACGAAGGCCAGGGGAGCAAACGGG